rnacentral:rRNA from 1 species
GUAUUGGCCUACCGUGGCAAUGACGGGUAACGGGGAAUUAGGGUUCGAUUCCGGAGAGGGAGCCUGAGAAACGGCUACCACAUCUAGGGAAGGCAGCAGGCGCGCAAAUUACCCAAUCCUAAUACAGGGAGGUAGUGACAAGAAAUAACAGUACAGGACUUUUUGGUUUUGUAAUUGGAAUGAGUUAAGUAUAAACCCCUUUACAAGUAUCAAUUGGAGGGCAAGUCUGGUGCCAGCAGCCGCGGUAAUUCCAGCUCCAAUAGCGUAUAUUAAAGUUGUUGCAGUUAAAAAGCUCGUAGUUGGAUUUCUGUUAAUAAUUUAUAUAAAAUAUUUUGAUGAAUAUUUAUAUAAUAUUAACAUAAUUCAUAUUACUAUAUAUUUUAGUAUAUAAAAUUUUACUUUGAGAAAAUUAGAGUGCUUAAAGCAGGCAUAUGCCUUGAAUACUCCAGCAUGGAAUAAUAUUAAAGAUUUUUAUCUUUCUUAUUGGUUCCAAGAUAAGAAUAAUGAUUAAUAGGGACAGUUGGGGGCAUUUGUAUUUAA